UCCCAGAAGAAAGCUAAGGGAAGGUAUAUUUGUGUUGCUUGACAACUGUGCUCUUUUCAAUCCUUGUCUGGUGAAAAAUUAUUUCUGUAUGUCUAAUUCAGUAUUUGUUUUUCAAUUGUUGCAUAUAUUAAGCUUUCCUGAGCUGGCUAUCACUUAUUAGAAGUAUUUCCCUGUUUCAGUUUCAAUCAUCCAGAUGAUCAUGCGGUACUCUAUUAGUUGUGUUGCAUUAUUACAUAAUUGAUUUUGGAGUUAUGGAUGCAAAGACUGAUUGAAAAUAUAUGGGAAGCUAGGUCUUUGACCCUAGCUUAAGUGGCUUAGUGAUGAGAUUGGAUGCCUAGGUUCAAAUUCUUACCUAUGUUAGAAAAAGGUUUGCAUGUCAGGAAAAAGGUUGUUUUCUUUUAUUUUUAUUUGGUGGCAAUGGCAUGCCUCAUACUUUGAAUUGUUUAUGUAUUGUUGUUAGAAAGGAUGCACACAUGCUUACACCUAAAUGCAUUUAACUGCCCACCUAUUCUGUUG
rnacentral:misc_RNA from 1 species